rnacentral:rRNA from 1 species
UACGAAGGGGGCUAGCGUUGCUCGGAAUCACUGGGCGUAAAGGGUGCGUAGGCGGGUUUUUAAGUCAGGGGUGAAAUCCUGGAGCUCAACUCCAGAACUGCCUUUGAUACUGAAGAUCUUGAGUCCGGGAGAGGUGAGUGGAACUGCGAGUGUAGAGGUGAAAUUUGUAGAUAUUCGCAAGAACACCAGUGGCGAAGGCGGCUCACUGGCCCGGUACUGACGCUGAGGCACGAAAGCGUGGGGAGCAAACAGG